GAUGAACGCCGGCGGCGUGCCUAAUACAUGCAAGCCGAGCGAACGGACGAGAAGCAUGCUUCUCUGAUGUUAGCGGCGGACGGGUGAGUAACACGUGGAUAACCUACAUAUAAGACUGGCAUAACAUAGGGACACCGGAGCCAAUACCGGAUAAUAUUCUGAACCGCAUGGUUCAAAAGUGAAACACGGUCUUGACGUCACUUAUAGAUGGAUCCGCGCUGCAUUAGCUAGUUGGUAAGGUAACGGCUUACCAAGGCAACGAUGCAUAGCCGACCUGAGAGGGUGAUCGGCCGCACUUGAACUGAGACACGGUCCAGACUCCUACGGGAGGCAGCAGGAGGGAAUCUUCCGCAGUGGGCGAAAGCCUGACGGAGCCACGCCGCGUGAGAGAUGGAGGUCUUCGGAUCGUAAAACUCUGUUAUUAGGGGAGAACAUAUGUGUAGGUAACGGUUCACAGCUUGACGGUACCUAAACAGAAAGGCGCGGCUAACAACGUA
rnacentral:rRNA from 1 species